rnacentral:lncRNA from 1 species
UUUAGUCAAUGUUCGAAAAAUAAAUAAAGACAAAUAAUAACCAUCAACAAUCGAUGGAGAAGAGCUAGCCUGAUUCGCGAAUCCAAUUUCGCGUAGAAAUUAAUGGAUAAACAUAUUACUUUUAAUGAAUCUUUUGACCGGUCGAUGGAGAAGAGGUGGCCGCUGAUUCGAUUUGAUUUUGAAAAGAAGAACCCUAAGUUGGCGGAUUCAAUUUGGAGAGAUUGUCGCUGCUGAAUUUGAGUUUUGGGAAAAAGAAAACUCAAGGUUUCCCUAAUUUGAUUUGAGGAGAAAGGCGUUGAUAAAAAAUGGAAUAUAAGUGGAAAAAU